rnacentral:rRNA from 1 species
AGUAGGACGCACAGUUUAUACCGUAGCUUGCUACACCAUAGACUGUGAGUUGCGAACGGGUGAGUAACGCGUAGGUAACCUACCUAUUAGAGGGGGAUAACUAUUGGAAACGAUAGCUAAUACCGCAUAACAGUAUGUAACACAUGUUAGAUGCUUGAAAGAUGCAAUUGCAUCGCUAGUAGAUGGACCUGCGUUGUAUUAGCUAGUAGGUAGGGUAAUGGCCUACCUAGGCAACGAUACAUAGCCGACCUGAGAGGGUGAUCGGCCACACUGGGACUGAGACACGGCCCAGACUCCUACGGGAGGCAGCAGUAGGGAAUCUUCGGCAAUGGGGGGAACCCUGACCGAGCAACGCCGCGUGAGUGAAGAAGGUUUUCGGAUCGUAAAGCUCUGUUGUUAAGGAAGAACGAGUGUGAGAAUGGAAAGUUCAUGCUGUGACGGUACUUAACCAGAAAGGGACGGCUAACUACGUGCCAGCAGCCGCGGUAAUACGUAGGUCCCGAGCGUUGUCCGGAUUUAUUGGGCGUAAAGCGAGCGCAGGCGGUUAGAAAAGUCUGAAGUGAAAGGCAGUGGCUCAACCAUUGUAGGCUUUGGAAACUGUUUAACUUGAGUGCAGAAGGGGAGAGUGGAAUUCCAUGUGUAGCGGUGAAAUGCGUAGAUAUAUGGAGGAACACCGGUGGCGAAAGCGGCUCUCUGGUCUGUAACCGACGCUGAGGCUCGAAAGCGUGGG